rnacentral:rRNA from 1 species
GGCAAUGGCGCGUGCUUACACAUGCAGUCGAACGAUGAACUUCGGGUGUUAGUGGCGAACGGGUGAGUAACACGUGAGUAACCUGCCCUUGACUCUGGGAUAACCUCCGGAAACGGAAGCUAAUACCGGAUAUGACGUACGGAGGCAUCUCCUGUACGUGGAAAGAAUUUCGGUCAAGGAUGGACUCGCGGCCUAUCAGGUAGUUGGUGAGGUAACGGCCCACCAAGCCUACGACGGGUAGCCGGCCUGAGAGGGUGACCGGCCACACUGGGACUGAGACACGGCCCAGACUCCUACGGGAGGCAGCAGUGGGGAAUAUUGCACAAUGGGCGCAAGCCUGAUGCAGCAACGCCGCGUGAGGGACGACGGCCUUCGGGUUGUAAACCUCUUUUAGUAGGGAAGAAGCGAAAGUGACGGUACCUGCAGAAAAAGCUAACUACGUGCCAGCAGCCGCGGUAAUACGUAGGGUGCAAGCGUUGUCCGGAAUUAUUGGGCGUAAAGAGCUCGUAGGCGGUUUGUCGCGUCUGCUGUGAAAUCCCGAGGCUCAACCUCGGGCCUGCAGUGGGUACGGGCAGACUAGAGUGCGGUAGGGGAGAUUGGAAUUCCUGGUGUAGCGGUGGAAUGCGUUGAUAUCAGGAGGAACACCGAUGGCGAAGGCAGAUCUCUGGGCCGUAACUGACGCUGAGGAGCGAAAGCGUGGGGAGCGAACAGGAUUAGAUACCCUGGUAGUCCACGCCGUAAACGUUGGGAACUAGAUGUGGGGACCAUUCCACGGUCUCCGUGUCGCAGCUAACGCAUUAAGUUCCCCGCCUGGGGAGUACGGCCGCAAGGCUAAAACUCAAAGGAAUUGACGGGGGCCCGCACAAGCGGCGGAGCAUGCGGAUUAAUUCGAUGCAACGCGAAGAACCUUACCAAGACUUGACAUAUACGAGAACGGGCCAGAAAUGGUCAACUCUUUGGACACUCGUAAACAGGUGGUGCAUGGUUGUCGUCAGCUCGUGUCGUGAGAUGUUGGGUUAAGUCCCGCAACGAGCGCAACCCUCGUUCUAUGUUGCCAGCACGUAAUGGUGGGAACUCAUAGGAGACUGCCGGGGUCAACUCGGAGGAAGGUGGGGAUGACCUCAUGCCCCUUAUGUCUUGGGCUUCACGCAUGGCCGGUACAAAGGGCUGCAAUACCGUGAGAGCGAAUCCCAAAAAGCCGGUCUCAGUUCGGAUUGAGGUCUGCAACUCGACCUCAUGAAAGUCGGAGAUGUAAUCGCAGAUCAGCAACGCUGCGGUGAACCCGUUUCCGGGCCUUGUACCAGACCGCCCGUCAAGUCACCCAAGUCGGCUCACCCGAAGCCGGUGGCCUAACCCUUGGGAAGGAGCCGUCGAAGGUGAU